AGUAACACGUGGAUAACCUACCUAUAAGACUGGGAUAACUUCGGGAAACCGGAGCUAAUACCGGAUGAUAUUUUGAACCGCAUUGUUCAAAAGUGAAAGACGGUCUUGCUGUCACUUAUAGAUUGAUCCGCGCUGCAUUAGCUAGUUGGUAAGGUAACGGCUUACCAAGGCAACGAUGCAUAGCCGACCUGAGAGGGUGAUCGGCCACACUGGAACUGAGACACGGUCCAG
rnacentral:rRNA from 1 species